UCUGGGUGUGGUGGCGUACGCUUGUAAUCCCAGCAACUUGGUAAGUUGAGGCAGGAGGAUCGCAAGUUCAAGGCCAGCCUGGGAAACUAGAUGAGACCCUGCCUCAA
rnacentral:sRNA from 1 species